rnacentral:rRNA from 1 species
CCUACGGGAGGCAGCAGUGGGGAAUAUUGCACAAUGGGGGAAACCCUGAUGCAGCGACGCCGCGUGAGUGAAGAAGUAUUUCGGUAUGUAAAGCUCUAUCAGCAGGGAAGAAGAAAGACGGUACCUGACUAAGAAGCCCCGGCUAACUACGUGCCAACAGCCGCGGUAAUACGUAGGGGGCAAGCGUUAUCCGGAUUUACUGGGUGUAAAGGGAGCGUAGACGGCUGUGCAAGUCUGACGUGAAAGCCCAGGGCUCAACCCUGGGACUGCUUUGGAAACUGUGGAGCUAGAGGGCUGGAGAGGUAAGUGGAAGUCCUAGUGUAGCGGUGAAAUGCGUAGAUAUUAGGAGGAACACCAGUGGCGAAGGCGGCUUACUGGACAGUAACUGACGUUGAGGCUCGAAAGCGUGGGGAGCAAACAGGAUUAGAUACCCUUGUAGUC